AAACUUUUCAGCUAGAGUAUGAUAGAGGAAAGCAGAAUUUCUAGUGUAGAGGUGAAAUUCGUAGAUAUUAGAAAGAAUACCAAUUGCGAAGGCAGCUUUCUGGAUCAUUACUGACACUGAGGAACGAAAGCAUGGGUAGCGAAGAGGAUUAGAUACCCUCGUAGUCCAUGCCGUAAACGAUGUGUGUUAGACGUUGGAAAUUUAUUUUCAGUGUCGCAGCGAAAGCGAUAAACACACCGCCUGGGGAGUACGACCGCAAGGUUAAAACUCAAAUGAAUUGACGGGGACCCGCACAAGUAGUGGAGCAUGUGGUUUAAUUCGAAGAUACGCGCAGAACCUUACCAACACUUGACAUGUUCGUCGCGACUCUAAGAGAUUAGAGUUUUCGGUUCGGCCGGACGAAACACAGGUGCUGCAUGGCUGUCGUCAGCUCGUGUCGUGAGAUGUUGGGUUAAGUCCCGCAACGAGCGCAACCCUCACUUUUAGUUGCCAUCAUUUAGUUGGGCACUCUGAAAGAACUGCCAGUGAUAAGCUGGAGGAAGGUGGGGAUGACGUCAAGUCCUCAUGGCCCUUACGUGUUGGGCUACACACGUGCUACAAUGGCAUCUACAACAGGAAGCAAAACGGCAACGUUAAGCAAAUCCCGAAAAGAUGCCUCAGUUCGGAUUGCACUCUGCAACUCGAGUGCAUGAAGCUGGAAUUACUAGUAAUCGUGGAUCAGCGUGCCACGGUGAAUGCGUUCCCGGGUCUUGUACACACCGCCCGUCACACCAUGGGAGUUGGUUCUACCUUAAGGCAAGGUUUUAAACCCUUGACCACGGUAUAGUCAGCGACUGGGGUGAAGUCGUAACAAGGUAACCAA
rnacentral:rRNA from 1 species